AGAGUUUGAUCCUGGCUCAGGACGAACGCUGGCGGCGUGCCUAAUACAUGCAAGUCGAACGAAGCUUUCUUUCACCGAAUGCUUGCAUUCACCGAAAGAAGCUUAGUGGCGAACGGGUGAGUAACACGUAGGCAACCUGCCCAAAAGAGGGGGGGAACACUUGGAAACAGGUGCUAAUACCGCAUAACCAUGAACACCGCAUGAUGUUCGUGUAAAAGACGGCUUUUGCUGUCACUUUUGGAUGGGCCUGCGGCGUAUUAACUUGUUGGUGGGGUAACGGCCUACCAAGGUGAUGAUACGUAGCCGAACUGAGAGGUUGAUCGGCCACAUUGGGACUGAGACACGGCCCAAACUCCUACGGGAGGCAGCAGUAGGGAAUCUUCCACAAUGGACGAAAGUCUGAUGGAGCAACGCCGCGUGAAUGAAGAAGGCCUUCGGGUCGUAAAAUUCUGUUGUCAGAGAAGAAUGUGCGUGAGAGUAACUGUUCACGUAUUGACGGUAUCUGACCAGAAAGCCACGGCUAACUACGUGCCAGCAGCCGCGGUAAUACGUAGGUGGCAAGCGUUGUCCGGAUUUAUUGGGCGUAAAGGGAACGCAGGCGGUCUUUUAAGUCAGAUGUGAAAGCCUUCGGCUUAACCGAAGUAGUGCAUUGGAAACUGGAAGACUUGAGUGCAGAAGAGGAGAGUGGAACUCCAUGUGUAGCGGUGAAAUGCGUAGAUAUAUGGAAGAACACCAGUGGCGAAAGCGGCUCUCUGGUCUGUAACUGGCGCUGAGGUUCGAAAGCGUGGGUAGCAAACAGGAUUAGAUACCCUGGUAGUCCACGCCGUAAACGAUGAGUGCUAAGUGUUGGAGGGUUUCCGCCCUUCAGUGCUGCAGCUAACGCAUUAAGCACUCCGCCUGGGGAGUACGGUCGCAAGACUGAAACUCAAAGGAAUUGACGGGGGCCCGCACAAGCGGUGGAGCAUGUGGUUUAAUUCGAAGCAACGCGAAGAACCUUACCAGGUCUUGACAUCUUCUGACAAUUCCAGAGAUGGAACGUUCCCUUCGGGGACAGAAUGACAGGUGGUGCAUGGUUGUCGUCAGCUCGUGUCGUGAGAUGUUGGGUUAAGUCCCGCAACGAGCGCAACCCUUAUUGUCAGUUGCCAUCAUUAAGUUGGGCACUCUGGCGAGACUGCCGGUGACAAACCGGAGGAAGGUGGGGAUGACGUCAAAUCAUCAUGCCCCUUAUGACCUGGGCUACACACGUGCUACAAUGGACGGUACAACGAGUCGCUAACUCGCGAGGGCAAGCUAAUCUCUUAAAGCCGUUCUCAGUUCGGAUUGCAGGCUGCAACUCGCCUGCAUGAAGUCGGAAUCGCUAGUAAUCGCGAAUCAGCAUGUCGCGGUGAAUACGUUCCCGGGCCUUGUACACACCGCCCGUCACACCAUGAGAGUUUGUAACACCCAAAGUCGGUGGGGUAACCUUUUGGAGCCAGCCGCCUAAGGUGGGACAGAUGAUUGGGGUGAAGUCGUAACAAGGUA
rnacentral:rRNA from 1 species